AUUGAACGCUGGCGGCAUGCCUUACACAUGCAAGUCGAACGGUAACAGGUCUUCGGAUGCUGACGAGUGGCGAACGGGUGAGUAAUACAUCGGAACGUGCCUAGUAGUGGGGGAUAACUACUCGAAAGAGUGGCUAAUACCGCAUGAGAUCUACGGAUGAAAGCAGGGGAUCGCAAGACCUUGUGCUACUAGAGCGGCCGAUGGCAGAUUAGGUAGUUGGUGGGAUACAAGCUUACCAAGCCGACGAUCUGUAGCUGGUCUGAGAGGACGAUCAGCCACAAUGGCACUGGGGCACGGCCCAGACUCCUACUGGAGGCAGCAGUGGGGAAUUUUGGACAAUGGGCGCAAGCCUGAUCCAGCAAUGCCUCGUGCAGGAUGAAGGCCUUCGGGUUGUAAACUGCUUUUGUACGGAACGAAAAGCCCCGGGUUAAUACCCUGGGGUCAUGACGGUACCGUAAGAAUAAGCACCGGCUAACUACGUGCCAGCCGCCGCCGUAA
rnacentral:rRNA from 1 species